rnacentral:lncRNA from 1 species
AAAAAAAUUCUUUACUUUCAUUUGCAUCGAUGAGGAGAAUAGAGAUAAAGAGAACUACAUGCAAUUAGCUGUGCAAACCAUUUAUUUAAUAUUAAACUAAAUUAACAUUGAAAUCUUGAACUGCAUUACAAUAGUUGAGAUUAAGUUACUAAAAAAUGUUUUUUAAUAUUAACAGAGAGAUUAUAUAAUUGACAAAGAAACUAAAGAAGGUGCAUAUACAAAUAUAUAACUGCAUAUAUAUGUAUAUAUUAGUACUGUGUUUGGUGUGCUGGAGGAAUACAAAAAACUGAGACUUUUUUAAAGCAUAGAAACAGAGAGAAGAAACAAUUGGAAGUGAAGUUUGAAAUCUUAAGGAGGGGCAUUAAAAGAAGCACAAAAAUGUACGCUGAUGAUUUUGCACUUUGGUGAGUGGUAUUAGUAGCACUGCUUUUCUGGUUAACAAAAGUAGGACUUAUGGGGGUUGAGACACUUGUACAAAUCUUAUCAACAAAGGAAUAGAUGAUAUAUAUAAUUAUAUAUAGGUCAUAAAUUAAACAUGCCAGAUUUAUAAUAUGAAAAACUUUUAACAAAGCAAAAUUCUUUUCGUCCCAACUAUCACACACUAAACCUGUUUUGUUACUGUAUUUAUAAAAUAACUAAAGGUCACAGUACAAAAAGAGAAACAGUCCUGAGACCCCAACAAAAAUUUGCAAACUUUCAACAGCUAAAUAAUGGAUAUUAAAAUCAAAACUCUCAUGAGGCAUUUUCUUUAAAGAUUCCCAAUUCUCAACCACCAAUUUGUCAGGCAACACACUGAUUAGAUUCAGAUCUAACGGGUUGGAAUCAAGGAAAAUAAAUAAAAGAAAAAAGGGAAAAUCCCCACAGAUUUUGAAAUGUACAGAAUACCCCAGAUGGCCA